GCGUCUUUUUCGUGUCGUUAUUCAACGAGUUUAUUUAACAAGGUGCGCGAUCGGCGUAUUCCGUGGUCUUUAUUCGUAUUUAGUGCACGUUAUAAGCGACGAGAGUACUGUAGCAAAGUGACGAGUGAUCAUUGUAUCCGCGCGUGAUAUUAAUGAGUCGUGUUUUUUCGUUCGGCAGGUAUUUGCGCGAGUGAUUGUUCAAAAUAACGGACAAUACGGAGAGACGCAGAGACAACAAAUUGGGCGAGAUCGCAGUGCAUUUGCGAAUAAUUCUUCCAAACAACGGACGACAUGGCAGAGACGACGAAUUCGGCAAGAGUGGUAUUUUCGGAAUCUCGAGUUCAUGUUAUUAAUUAGUUCAUGCGAUACCUGAUUGACAGCUGCGUGAAUAUUCUCGGCGCUGUAUGUGUAACGAGGUGGUCUACUCGUGGUCGCUCUGAUCUGCUCGUACAAGGCGCUGGUGCUCGGCGUGCGACUUAGCCAGGCACGAUAUUCAUCCGACGUGAAUACGCUCGGCGAGGACGGUAUCCUGCCUGUUGCGACAUUUAUCGACAUCCACGAUUUACUUUAUUCGGAAAUUCGGGGAGACGAAGGCACGAAAGCGAGGAAUACCUAAACGUGGAAACGAACGCGAGUCAGGCGAAUCGGGCCGAUAAGACCGUACAGUCAUUGCGUAUGUCACCGAUGAUGACGCGUAUAUCAACCGAUAUGCCACACAACGUGGCAACACAACGUCGUCGAUAUAAUCAUUUACAUAACCGACAUUCAACUGGUUCUUGAACUUCACUCUUCGAUUCCUUUCGCCGUGGCGAUCCUCCUAUGCUAUAUCGAUCCACGACCCACGACCACAACUAGCUGGAAGGAGGGACCGGCGCGUGCAAGACGAACAGACCAACGGCGGUGGACGUCGGAGAGAGGGCAAAAGGACAAGGAUUUCUAAAGCGACGAUGCCGUGAUUUCUUCUCGAUGAAUCUGCCGAUGAACUAACCCGUCUUUUGUCGAGAGAAACGUCACUUUCAAUAUCGUUAUCGCAGAAACGAUUGCCGACGAAGGGCUGAUAUCGCGAAAAGAGGUUCCUUAAUGCGUUGGGGCGAAAGCGAGGAUAGUUGAUCCGUUUUUGAGUAUCGGCAAUCAUCCACCACCAUUAGAUAGAAUAGUAACAGCACAAAAUGUAAUAUUUCUUCAGUAGAUUCAGUAGAAGAUUCAAUUUCUGUCGAAGCAAGGUAAAGUACACUCGAAACAACGUUCAAAAAGGAAUCUUACAAAAGAGACAUCGUCGACGACACUGACAAGACAGAGCCGGUAUCGCGCAUGAGCGAGGAACCGAAAGAGGCCGGUAUAUCGGGCCAGAGAUACGUCCAAAGGGAAAAUCGAGAGCGAUGGGAACUCACCGCGUCCCACGAGGAAGAGGCACGUCGACAUCGACACGUAGAAGAAGUUUUCGAGCGACACCUGUGCACACGGAUUCGUGCAAAGCGACUCGAGGUCGUCGAGCUCGAGCGGCGGAGGUCGGAAAAGCGAGCGAGCCGGUUGCGCGUGGGAAAAACGAUGUGCAUACGAUGCCGGUAUAUCGGACAAGAAGAGAGAGAGAGAGAGAGAGAGAGAGAGAGAGAGAGAGAGAGAGAGUAGAGUAGAGUAGAGUAGAGCCACCACGAAAAUCGUGUGGUGGCGUGCCAGCCGAUGGUCCCGGACCAACCCGAUCGAUAUACCCUUUUUUCGAGAGUACCUCCUCUCUCUCUCUCUCUCUCUCUCUCGGCCACUCUCUCGGUUCGCUUCGUCUCCCUUUCGCCCGUUUUACUUGGUCUCGUUCACGAACUUUGCCUCACCCUCGAGACGAGACGAAGGUGGACGACUGGCCCCGUCUAUCUUCGAUAAAAACGAACGCUCUGGAAAACGCGUGGAAACGAUCUGAAUGGUGACAGACUCAACGGAUAAAUCGAGAUGUCACGACGCGUGUCUCACGGGCGCGUAAACGUACCUGAUGAGAGCGGGAGCGCGAGAACGGGACGCGAGAGAGAAAGAGAGAGAGAAAGAGAGCGAUUCUCCUCUCCUUCACACUUGGCUCUCUCUUCUCCGAGACUCUAUUUUUCUCCUCGCUCCUUCUCCUCCCCCGGCGGCGAAAGGAGGCAGGAGGAAUCUUCCGGUUGCAGCUUUCUCACCUCGCCGUAUAACGCCACGCGGGAAUCAAUACGCGCGCCUGCCUCGAGCCUUUUUCUCUCUCUCUCUCUCUCUCUUGUCGCGCACUAACCACCCUUUACGCUCGUUCACCCUCUCACCCGCGCGUUCACUUUCUCUAUCUCUCUUCUCCACUCUUUCUCUCUCCGACACCCACCCUCAUCGGCUAAACCCCUCGUCCACUCCGCCUCUCGCGAUGGUUCGCUUCCUCUCUCCCUCCCGCGCGAGCGCACCCUUCGGAGUAUAGUACGCUACUCUGCCGUACGUUGCCGAAGAGAGCACUUCUCCUCCCUCGCUACCUUGAUAUACUCGGACGGUGCACCGUAUCUCCGUCCUUGUCCUUCUCUCUCUUUCCUCGCUUCGGACAGAGUUAUUUCUCCUCGUGGAGGGUCGGCGAACGAAAGAGCACCUCGUCGACGACAAUGACGGCGACGACACGAGAAACACAAUUACAAACUCGCAUGCACGUACGCACGGCGACGACGCGAACAGGAGAGAGAGAGAGAGAGAGAGAGAGAGAGAGAAAGAAAGAGCGCGUGAGAGGUGCACGCGUGAGUAUAUUUCGCGCGGGAAUUGCGAGCUGCCCUUACGUCAGAGAACUGAGGACUACCCUCUCGCGGAGUGUAACGCGCCCCGCCGUAUAACUACGACUAUACGCUCGGCCGCCGUCGCGCGGACAUGUCGAGGGCUGCGACACGCACGCAAGCGCGCAAGCGAGCGAUAAAGACGACGAGGGUGCGAGGAGCAGGGCUGACGAUGGCCACGACGACGACGACGACGACGACGACACCGACGACAUGCUAUAUAGGUAUAACGCGAAGCGUCGCUCGUUUUUCAUCUUUGCCAACCGGACGCCCUCGAUCGCGAAUUGCGCCGAAAACUAUCGAUCUCGCACACCCUUAGUUUUCGAAUUUCCUCGCCGGAGAAUUUAUUUUUUCCCGCGAAUCUCUUACAUCUCGAUGAAAAGCGUGUGUAAAUCUAGUAAGAUUACGUAUUCUUGCGAUUUAUUUGAUACAAUGUUGCAGUAAGAUUUUGCUCUUUAUGCGCAAAAAGGGUAAAAGUAAACAUUCUUUAGAGAUAGAAUUAGUAGAGUAUUGUAGAUUCUUGAGAUGUUUAAGAAGAAGUCGAGGAAAGAAUUGGAAUUUUUAUCACUCCAAGAGGAUUGUAUCCCGAUGCAAAUCAGAUAAAAUUCUUUGUCUUUAUGUAUAUUUUACAUUUCCUCUAUAUUGCAUAACAAAAGGAGAAUAUUUGACAUACGAUAAAGCGAUGAAACUGUAUUACUUGCACGCAGGGCGACUUAAAAUUUUCGUCAUUCUCUCCGAGAAACGGCGUUAUGGUGCGGCGUCGAUUAUUGCAUACUGAUUACAGGAACAUCUUAAGAAGCCCACUACUAAAGUAGAUGCUUAAAGAAACUUUAAAGGCUGCCGAACAGAUCCAACGGCGCGCAGUGUUCAAAGUUUUCAUCAGAACUGACGUCUCUUUUCGACUAGCGCUUAAAAUUCAAACUUUUGCGAGAAAGUUGUAAUAUAAAGGAGUACAUUUUCAUUAAGAAUUACUAAGAAUAACUUAAAACUAACUUGUUGCAAAAAGCAAUACUAGCGAUUUGGAAAAGUGAACAAAGUUUGUAAUUUACAGUAGUUGCAAGACUGAUAAAAAAUUUUGUAUGUCCUUGUUUUUCUUCAUUUUAUAUAUAUAUAUAAAAAAAAAUAAAUAAAAGAUAUUUUAUAAAGA